rnacentral:rRNA from 1 species
ACGCUCGACACCUACGGAGGCAGCAGUGGGGAAUAUUGCACAAUGGGGGAAACCCUGAUGCAGCAACGCCGCGUGAAGGAAGACGGUUUUCGGAUUGUAAACUUCUGUUCUUAGUGAAGAUAGUGACGGUAGCUAAGGAGCAAGCCACGGCUAACUACGUGCCCGCAGCCGCGGUAAUCUGAGCGGGCUGGCAAGGC